GACGAACGCUGGCGGCGUGCCUAACACAUGCAAGUCAACUUGACUGAAGGAGCAAUCUGACAGUAGAGUGGCGCAAGGGUGCGUAACGCGUAAGUAACUUGCCCCAAGGUAAGGAAUAACGUCGAGAAAUCGGCGCUAAUACCUCAUAAUGCAGCGGAUCCGCAUGGAUAUGUUGUUAAAGGUUUACCGCCUUGGGAUAGGCUUGCGUCUGAUUAGUUAGUUGGUGUGGUAACGGCACACCAAGGCUACGAUCAGUAACUGGUCUGAGAGGAUGAUCAGUCACACUGGAACUGAGACACGGUCCAGACUCCUACGGGAGGCAGCAGUGAGGAAUAUUGGGCAAUGCUCGAAAGAGUGACCCAGCAACGCCGCGUGGAGGAUGAAGGUAUUCUAUAUCGUAAACUCCUGUGAGAGCAGACGAAGACAGAUUAUUAAUCUGGAUGACUGUAUGCUCAGGGGAAGCCCCGGCUAACUACGUG
rnacentral:rRNA from 1 species